rnacentral:rRNA from 1 species
AACGAACGCUGGCGGCAUGCCUAACACAUGCAAGUCGAACGAGACCUUCGGGUCUAGUGGCGCACGGGUGCGUAACGCGUGGGAAUCUGCCCUUGGGUUCGGAAUAACAGUGAGAAAUUACUGCUAAUACCGGAUGAUGUCUUCGGACCAAAGAUUUAUCGCCCAGGGAUGAGCCCGCGUAGGAUUAGCUAGUUGGUGGGGUAAUGGCCUACCAAGGCGACGAUCCUUAGCUGGUCUGAGAGGAUGAUCAGCCACACUGGGACUGAGACACGGCCCAGACUCCUACGGGAGGCAGCAGUGGGGAAUAUUGGACAAGGGGCGCAAGCCUGAUCCAGCAAUGCCGCGUGAGUGAUGAAGGCCUUAGGGUUGUAAAGCUCUUUUACACGGGAUGAUAAUGACAGUACCGGGAGAAUAAGCUCCGGCUAACUCCGUG